AGCAGCAUGGCGCAGUUGGAAGCGCGCGGGGCCCAUAUCGUUCAUGUAACCCCGAGGUCACUCGAUCGAAACGAGUUGCUGCUA